rnacentral:lncRNA from 1 species
AUUUACUCCCUUACCUACAAGAUUCCCAUCAUCCAUUUGUUUUGCAUUCCUUCAUAGUUCCAUUCACUCAUUAAUUCAUUUAACAAAUAUUUUCGAAGCACAUUACUUGGUACCAGUCAUUGUAUUAGAUACUGGCUAUCAAAUCCAAGUUUACAAAAGGAAAUUGAACCAAUGGGCUAUUAGCUGAAUUGACAACGUGAUCUAAUGACUUUGAUGUUGGUAGAGACCUCUCCACUUUCUCCACCUCUC